GUCUGCAGACAUUUACUCAUCUGCCGUCCUGCAUACACGUGUUUAUAUUUUCCACCUGUCGCCUGCAUCAUAAUCAAAGUUGUUUUCGUUACCAAUAAUAACUUUGGAAAUGAGUGCGUUUCUAUCAAAGUGCCUUAUUACGUUAUAAUAGUUUCUGCAUGUCGUGUUAUGUCGUUUCUACUGUAGCAUCAUGUUUAGUGUAUAUUCCUUAUAACCGCGGACAUGCGAUGUAACGUUACUCAUUUCAUAACAUGUAUGGUGUUAUACUCAAUGCUUAGGUAUCUAGCUACAGUCUUAUUAGCUCUGGAAAACAAUGCUAAUUGCGUCACGGAUGUAUUAGCAUGUGUUGGAUGUUGAAGCUACCCUGGCCUUUUGACUCCCAAGUGGCACAGCGUCUCAGUGCUAGAGGCGUCACUACAGACACCCAUCUUCAAAUCCAGACUGCGUUUCUAUCAAAGUGGUUCACCAUUCCCUGUGGCCAACAUGGUUGCUGUAUGGACAGUGGAGAGGACAUGGAAGUCUCGUUUGUCAUGGCACUUUACUGCCAGCUGUUGACAUCUCUUGUUUAGUACACCGGGUCAUUUAGGAUGGCAGUAGCGUUGAUGAUGAAAUGCAGUCAUAGCAGCAGAACUAGAAAGCAGUCUUGGGAAAAGAGGGUGGCAAAGAAGGGAGUUGCAAACAUAGGAUCUCUGCUCCAGUAUUCUCUUAGGGAGUUCUUCUUUACUGUCACCAGGAAUGUAUACAUUUCACUAAUUGUGGUUGUUCCCCCACUCCUGGUGUAACAGUAUAACUUUACGUCUGUCCCCUCGCCCAUACCCGGGCGCGAACCAGGGACCCUCUGCACACAUCAACAACAGUCACCCACGAAUCAUCGUUACCCAUAGCUCCACAAAAGCCACGGCCCUUGCUGCGCAAGGGGAACAACUACUUCAAGGUUUCAGAGCAAGUAACGUAACUGAUUGAAACGCUAUUAGCGCGUACCCGCUAACUAGCUAGCCAUUUCACAUCCGUUACACUGGCUCUCUCUUAUUCUGUAGCUCCAAGGCAUAGCGAUUGGUCUCUACUAUGUCUCCCACCAGCUCAUCUGUCAGAAACAACUUGAAGCGUUCUGCCUCAGAUGGAAAUGGCAAGGGGCGUUGCACUCCAGACUAGGACUCAUCAACACAAUCAGCAGGGCCAGGAGGGGUGAAAUGGCUGGCAGCCUUCCAGCUACCACAGAACUCCUGUACUUCAUCCACUGUCAGUCUGCCACCAUCACCACCAGCAUUUUCUCAUGGAACUGGGACUUUGUCAGUGGACAAAGGGUCCUCUGAUUCAGGGUUCUCAAUGGCUACAAGGUUGGGGGGCAGCUCCUCACUGUCAGAAUCUGAUUCCUGACUUUCAUACUUAGACUCAAAAUCUCCAGAAUUUCCACAUUUGUGAGUUGUCUCCUUUUGAAAGUUAUUGCUAAUGCUACAGCUUAGCUCACUAUCUACAUACAUAAACAACAACACUGAAUGGUUUAGAGUGAGAGAGUACGUGGUUGACUGCUGGCACGCGCCACUUGUCUCAAUAAAUCACUAUCAGAAAAUGUUUUGUGUGGCAAUUAUUUGUGUAUUUACUGUUUUAUUCACAUGUUUUCAAUUCUAUGUGACAAAUCAUGCAUUCCGAUUCUUGCACAGAUUGUAAUGGGCACAUAUGUGUGUAAAAUACUUUUUUGAAGGUUGUACUGAUUAUGAUGAGCUAAACUAAUUCCAGCUGUGUUGACAUACAAUGCAUUCUGGGUUUCACGUAAUUGUCUGUUUGACCAAAGAUGUUAUAACAAAAUGAGGUGAGUAAGAGUUCACUCAUUUUUUGAGGACUUCCGGAAAUGAAGGGUGGGAUGUGAACGACAGUGAUUGACACACCCCUUCAACAUGCAUACUAUAAACAGACCAAACUCAUCUUGUCUUCUCUUAUUAUCUUCGGUUUCUGUGAGGAACGAAUGCAUGGCUGCCCGCUGAAACUAAUCUUCUGAUUACUUUCGAUUUCAAAAGUAUUUUACCUAAUUAUUUCGAUCAAUGAACUGAAAGACGCCCCCCACUUGGUGAUAGAACGUGUCUGUUUACAGAUGAACAGGAGGCUGUCAUUGUGCAAAUGGUAGUUGAAAAUAAUACCAUAAGACUGUGGGGAAAUCCAACAACAGACUUUUGAAAACUAUGCCAUGUUCCAUAACAUCAGAGUGAACUUAUCAACCAUCUCCGGAUGAAGCAAAUCUACAGUCCCAUUUGAAAGGAAUUUUCAAAGAGUGAAGGAUAAACGGUACGAAUAUGUGCAAAGAAUCAUGGAGUUGGAUACAAGUCCCAUCCGCCAGGAACUCAUAUUCAUAGAUGAGGCUAGAUUAAAUUUAGCGAAGACGAGGAGAGGAAGGAGCAUCAUUGGUCAACGCGCUAUCAUUGAGGUACCUGGCCAGCGUGGGGUAAAUGUCACUAUAUGUGCAGCUAUUAGCCACAAUGGGGUCCUCCACCGCCAUGCCACCCUUGGACCAUACAACACUGCCCAUCUCCUUAAUUUCCUGAACAGUUUAAAUUACAAUCUUUUUCAGCCAGAGCAGAGAUGGCCAAGUGAUCCUGAACAGCAAAUGCAUGUUCUAAUUUGGGACAACGUGAGUUUCCAUCGGGCUGCUCAGGUCCGCAACAGGUUCCAUGACCAUCCCAGGUUUACAAUUCUCUAUCUCCCACCAUAUUUCCCAUUUCUCAACCCCAUUGAAGAGUUGUUUUCAGCAUGGCGGAGGAAGGUGUAUGAUCGCAAACCCCAUGAACGUAUGGCCCUUCUCCAGGCAAUGGAGGAGGCCUGUGGUGACAUUCCAGCAGAGUCCUGUCAGGGGUGGAAGCGUCUUGCCAGAAGCUAUUUUACAAACUGUCUGGCCAAGGAGAAUAUCGCCUGUGAUGUUGAUGAAACUCUGUUGCCGGACCAAAACAACUUAAUUGUUUUACACCACUGCAAAAUCAGUCAUGAUUUUGCAGUGGUGUAAAACAAUUAAGUAAAAAUACUUUAAAGUACUACUUAAGUGACUGUAUCGAACUGUAAUGACUGGAACGAACUGCAAAAAUAUCUGAAGCUGGAGACUCAUAUCUCCCUCACUAGCUUUAAGCGCCAGCUGUCAGAGCAGCUCCCAGAUCACUGCACCUGUACAUAGCCCAUCUGUAAACAUUCUAUCUACCUACCUCAUCCCCAUACUGUAGUUAUUUAUUUAUCUUGCUCCUUUGCACCCCAGUAUCUCUACUUGCACAUUCAUCUUCUGCACAUCUACCAUUCCAGUGUGUAUUUGCUAUAUUGUAAUUACUUCGCCACCAUGGCCUAUUUAUUGCCUUAACUCCCUUAUCUUACCUCAUUUGCACUCACUGUAUAUAGACUUUUUGUUUUCUUUUGUUCUACUGUAUUAUUGACUAUGUUUUGUUUAUUCCAUGUGUAACUCUGUAGUGUAUGUGUUGAAUUGCUAUGCUUUAUCUUGGCCAGGUCGUAGUUGCAAAUGAGAACUUGUUCUAUAAAGGUGAAAUACAUUUUUUUAAUAAAAAAGUUGUUUAUUUGGGAAUCUGUACUUUACCAUUUAUAUUUUUUACAACUUUUAUUUACUAAAGAAAGUCAUGUACUUUUUACUCCAUACAUUUUCCCUGACACUCAAAAGUACUUGUUACAUGUUGAAUGCUUAGCAGGACAGGAAAAAGGUCCAAUUCACACACUUGCAAGAGAACAUCCCUGGUCAUCCCUGCUGCCUCUGAUCUGGUGGACUCACUAAACAGAGAACAUCCCUGGUCAUCCCUGCUGCCUCUGAUCUGGUGGACUCACUAAACACAAAUGUUUGUUUGUAAAUUGUCAAUGUGCCCCUGGAUAUCUGUAAAUAAUAUUUUUUUAAAUUAUGCUCUCUGGUUUGCUUAAUAUAAGCAAUUUGAAAUAAUUUUUACUUUUGAUAGUUAAGUAUAUUUUUGCAAUUCCAUUUACUUUUGAUACUUGAGUAUAUUUAAAACCAAAUACUUUUAGAUUUUUACUCAAGUAGUAUUUUACUGGGUGACUUUCCCUUUUACUUGAGUCAUUUUCUAUUAAGGUAUUUUUACUUUUACUCAAGUUAUGAAAAUUGGGUCCUUUUUCCAACACUGCUUUUGUUUUUUCACAAUGGAGUAUUUUGACAGUUUCUUUAUCUAUUCUGUAUAAUUGAUCUAACAUACAGUAGUUAUUUUGCAUAUGCUAAAUAUAUUUACUGUAUGUGUGCUUACAGUUUGCUGUUUGUCAUGUUGAAAUAUAAAACAAACAUGUUUGUGUUCCUUGUUUGAGUACACACAAACACUAUACAGUAUAACAACGAUCUUAGUCUUUACACUGAAACAGGUUUUGAAUGUCACAGUGUGAUCUCGUUCGUCACGAAGUUAGAUUCAUUUGAUGUGUGUGUCUCAUUUGUAUGCAGGGAAGACAUGAUUUUGAUUGCUGUGUUUCAUUUUGCAAGAUGUCUUUGGGGUUUGUGGAAAUUGGUUAAAUGUUUAGAGUUGAGUACCUGAGAUGUAGCUCCAGCAAACGUGUGUUAACAAUUGUGAAAAACUAAAUAGUUUUUUACCCUCAUCAAUCUACACACAAUACCCCAUAAUGAAAAAGCUCAAAUUUAGAAAUGUUUUCAAAUUUAUUAAAAAACAGAAAUAUAAACAUUUACAUAAGUACUCAGACCCUUUACUCAGUACUUUGUUGAAGCACCUUUGUGAUUCCAGCCUUGAGUCUUCUUGGGUAUGAGGCUACAAGCUUGGCACACCUGUAUUUGGGCAGCUUCUCCCAUUUUUUCCCUGCAGAUCUCUCAAGCUCUGUCAGGUUGGAUGCGGUGCACUCUGGCUGGACUACUCACUGAAAUUCAGAGACUUGUCCCGAAGCCAC